rnacentral:rRNA from 1 species
GACGAACGCUGGCGGCGUGCUUAACACAUGCAAGUCGAACGGUAAGGCCCUUCGGGGUACACGAGUGGCGAACGGGUGAGUAACACGUGGGUGAUCUGCCCUGCACUUCGGGAUAAGCCCGGGAAACUGGGUCUAAUACCGGAUAGUACUGCGCGGUGCAUGCCGUGUGGUGGAAAGAUUUAUCGGUGCAGGAUGGGCCCGCGGCCUAUCAGCUUGUUGGUGGGGUAAUGGCCUACCAAGGCGACCACGGGUAGCCGGCCUGAGAGGGCGACCGGCCACACUGCGACUGAGACACGGCCCAGACUCCUACCGGAGGCAGCAGUGGGGAAUAUUGCACAAUGGGCGCAAGCCUGACCCACCGACCCCGCGUGAGGGAUGACGGCCUUCGGGUUGUCAACCUCUUUCAUCAGGCACGAACCGCACGUGACGGUACCUGCAGAAGAAGCACCGGCCAACUACGUGCCAGCAGCCGCGGUAAUACGUAGGGUGCAAGCGUGUCCCGGAAUUACUGGGCGUAAAGAGCUCGUAGGCGGUUUGUCGCGUCGUCUGUGAAAACCAGCAGCUCAACUGUUGGCUGCCAGGCGAUACGGGCAGACUUGAGUAUUUCAGGGGAGACUGGAAUUCCUGGUGUAGCGGUGAAAUGCGCAGAUAUCAGGAGGAACACCGGUGGCGAAGGCGGGUCUCUGGGAAAUAACUGACGCUGAGGAGCGAAAGCGUGGGUAGCGAACAGGAUUAGAUACCCUGGUAGUCCACGCCGUAAACGGUGGGCGCUAGGUGUGGGUUUCCUUCCACGGGAUCCGUGCCGUAGCUAACGCAUUAAGCGCCCCGCCUGGGGAGUACGGCCGCAAGGCUAAAACUCAAAGGAAUUGACGGGGGCCCGCACAAGCGGCGGAGCAUGUGGAUUAAUUCGAUGCAACGCGAAGAACCUUACCUGGGUUUGACAUACACCGGAAAGCCGUAGAGAUACGGCCCCCCUUGUGGUCGGUGUACAGGUGGUGCAUGGCUGUCGUCAGCUCGUGUCGUGAGAUGUUGGGUUAAGUCCCGCAACGAGCGCAACCCUUGUCCUGUGUUGCCAGCGGAUAAUGCCGGGGACUCGCAGGAGACUGCCGGGGUCAACUCGGAGGAAGGUGGGGACGACGUCAAGUCAUCAUGCCCCUUAUGUCCAGGGCUUCACACAUGCUACAAUGGCCGGUACAGAGGGCUGCGAUACCGUGAGGUGGAGCGAAUCCCUUAAAGCCGGUCUCAGUUCGGAUCGGGGUCUGCAACUCGACCCCGUGAAGUCGGAGUCGCUAGUAAUCGCAGAUCAGCAACGCUGCGGUGAAUACGUUCCCGGGCCU